CUCGACGCCAUUGUCGCUCGCCCUCAACCACCGCCGCUCGCCCUCGCCACCGCUAACCUCUAUGCUUUCCUCUUCUUGUGAGGGUCUUGGAAGCUCCAGAAGUGGUAUUGUUGAUCCAAUCAUGGCUGGUGAAGUGAAGAAAAACAAUUUGGGCAUUGGUGCUCAUAAUUCUGGAGAGGUGGCGCCAGAAGAUGAUAUAUACGAGCAAUUAUGGUCACUUUGUUAGAGUACAUUUCAUCCAUCAUGUGCUCGAACUACUGGAUUGUUCGUGAGUGUAAAAACAGUUUGUUUAUUAUUGCUUCUAAAAUGUUGUUUGCUGGUUGUGUUAUAUUCUCUUUGAUGAAUGAGAAGUUUGUGUAUUAUUGCUGCA